UACGGAGGGUGCGAGCGUUGUCCGGAAUCACUGGGCGUAAAGGGCGCGUAGGUGGCGCGAGGAGUCUGUGGUGAAAGCCCGAGGCUCAACUUCGGGUCGGCCGCGGAUACUCUCGUGCUGGAGGGUGGUAGAGGCCAAUGGAAUUCCGGGUGUAGCGGUGGAAUGCGUAGAGAUCCGGAAGAACACCGGUGGCGAAGGCGGUUGGCUGGGCCACACCUGACACUGAGGCGCGACAGCGUGGGAGCAAACAGGG
rnacentral:rRNA from 1 species